GAAAUGCGAUAAGUAAUGUGAAUUGCAGAAUUCAGUGAAUCAUCGAAUCUUUGAACGCACAUUGCGCCCGCCAGUAUUCUGGCGGGCAUGCCUGUUCGAGCGUCAUUUCAACCAUCAAGCCCCCGGCUUGUGUUGGAGACCUGCGGCUGCCCGCAGGCCCUGAAAAACAGUGGCGGGCUCGCUGUCACACCGAGCGUAGUAGCAUACAUUCUCGCUCAGGGCGUGCUGCGGGUUCCGGCCGUUAAACGACCUUCAUAACCCAAGGUUGACCUCGGAUCAGGUAGGAAGACCCGCUGAACUUAAGC
rnacentral:misc_RNA from 1 species